GAAGGGCUCCAAGGGGUCGCCGGGACCCUGGGCCCCAAGGGGACACAGGACCCCCAGGACCCCCAGGGCCACCGGGCCGCCCGGCGGAGCUGCGGGAGCCGCUGCCCAUGGGAGGGGGCCGCGAAGAGGCGCCGCGAGGCGG